GAUGAACGCUGGCGGCGUGCUUAACACAUGCAAGUCGAACGGAAAGGCUCCUCCUUGCCGUGGUACUCGAGUGGCGAACGGGUGAGUAACACGUGGGUGAUCUUCCCUGCACUUCGUGAUAAGCCUGGGAAACUGGUUCUAAUACCGGAUAUGACGAUGGUUUGGAUGCCAUUGUGGAAAGCUUUUUCGGUGUGGGAUGAGCUCGCGGCCUAUCAGCUUGUUUGUGGGGUAAUGGCCUACCAAGGCGUCGACGGGUAGCCGGCCUGAGAGGGUGUACGGCCACAUUGGGACUGAGAGACGGCGCAGACUCCUACGGGAGGCAGAAGUGGGGAAUAUUGCACAAUGGGCGCAAGCCUGAUGCAGAGACGCCGCGUGGGGGAUGACGGCUUACGGGUUGUAAACUCCUUUCGCUAGGGACGAAGCGGAAGUGACGGUACCUGGAGAAGAAGCACCGGCUAACUACGUG
rnacentral:rRNA from 1 species